ACUGGAACUAUUCUUUUAAUUUCUCUAAUUUCUACAAAUUUGUUUCAAUAUUUUAGGGUUAAAACGUUGAUUUAGGACUAAUACAUUCGUUCGCACAAUCGGAAAUGAUGAAAUGGCCUUUAGCCUAGCAAGAUUUAAUAAUUGCCCAAACAAAUAAAUUGCAUUCUUGACGUGCAACUUUGGUUGCUGUUUGAAUGGAGAUAGUGUCAGUCGUUCUGGACCGUCGGAUUCAUCUCAGAUCAUUGGUUGGUGUGUUGAGUAUAAGUAGAUCACUUGGCUGAAACCCUAGACGUAUUCUGUCAUUUCUGUGUGUAUGUCCAUCUUCUAGAAAUUUCCUCUGAACCCUGUUCGUCUUCUUCUUUCAUCUUCAACAUCUGGUUGGAUGAAUUGUAAAAUUUCUUAGUUAGAAAAGAGUUUUGAGUGAUUCCUUUCGCUAGUGUAUGGCGAUACAUGUGGUGUGGGUUCUUCCCGUCGAUGGUACAACUCCAUUCACGUCUGUACGUGAGGGUCCGGGUUGUUCGGUGCCUCUGCGAUGAAACAGUCGGGUAAAAUUGAUUGAGCCAACGAUUUAUGAGAUCUUGAUGCUUUUGGUUUAGAUUUGUUGUAAUACUGUGUAAUUUCAGAAUCAGAUAUUUAUGUUCUCGAGGAUUUUGAAUAAUACAAUAAAUAUUUAAUAAGAACCAAUUUAGGAAUAUGAUCGGUUCUCACCAAGAUCAAUUUUUCUUCUUUCUAGAGAGAAUAGCAGCCUCUUAAUAUUGUUCGACCAUUCAUCUAAAGUUGAAUUCUGAUGUGAAGUAUGAACUUUUAAAGUUGUUUAAUUGUAGAGAAUACGUGCCCUCUUUUCCUCCACAUCGUUAUUUCCUCCAUCAAUAGAAAAUUUAUCUUGCCAUUUUUGCCUUUCGAUUUAUUUCUCCAUUCCGAUGAUGAAAAUGAGAAGAUGAGAAGACAAAGAUCCCACUUCUUCAAAAGCCUUCUUAACUUUCAUUUUGGUCCUUCUGUCUAUUUAUUUUUGUUUAUUGAACUAUUAAUUUUGCCAGUUCUUAUUCAAUCUAGGCAUACUUUUCGCCAUUGACUUCUUUAACGUGAUAUUCUCUUAAUUUUUGUUGAUUGCUCAUGCGAAUUGUAGUUGAGGGUAUUUAUUUUUGUUAUAGUUGGUUUUCCAGUGUAAUUACUAGGUCCGGUAUUGAGUUUACUCUAGGCAAUUUGAGGUGGAAAAGUAGAAUUUUGACGUCUGAAGAUGAUGAGUUUCGGAGACCCAAGUGUAACAACGGGAAAUACAUGGAAAUGAACCAAAUAGAAAGGUUAUUCUG
rnacentral:lncRNA from 1 species